rnacentral:lncRNA from 1 species
GUAAACUCUAAAGGGUUCCCAGUGCUUUGGCAGCCUGGACAACAUCUACAUUUCACUGCUCUCAAAAGAGAUGAAGAAAAAAGGAAAAGUAGCUCGGAUUUCUUGUCAGAAAGUAAUACCAUUUCCUUACCAUCGUUCCAGGAGAAACUGAGGGGGGAAAAUUUCCAUUUCCGAGUGAUUUCAAUACCUGAUAUUCCAAAACAACAAAAAAUGUUAGAAAAGGCACUUGCUUUUAUGGGAGGAGAAAGGCUGUCCUUGCAAAUAAAGCACAGUGUUUUCAUCCUGCACUACAAUGCAGCUCCCCACAGAAAGAUCUGGAGUGCCUUGUGUGAGCACAAACAGAUGUUCCAUAGCAGCACAGCACAGGUGAGUGAAUAU